CGAUGAAGCUGGAGCUUGCUCUGGUGGAUUAGUGGCGAACGGGUGAGUAACACGUGAGUAACCUGCCCUUGACUCUGGAAUAAGCGUUGGAAACGACGUCUAAUACUGGAUACGAGCUUCAGCCGCAUGGCUAGGAGUUGGAAAGAAUUUCGGUCAAGGAUGGACUCGCGGCCUAUCAGGUAGUUGGUGAGGUAAUAGCUCACCAAGCCUACGACGGGUAGCCGGCCUGAGAGGGUGACCGGCCACACUGGAACUGAGACACGGUCCAGACUCCUACGGGAGGCAGCAGUGGGGAAUAUUGCACAAUGGGCGAAAGCCUGAUGCAGCAACGCCGCGUGAGGGACGACGGCCUUCGGGUUGUAAACCUCUUUUAGUAGGGAAGAAGCGAAAGUGACGGUACCUGCAGAAAAAGCACCGGCUAACUACGUGCCAGCAGCCGCGGUAAUACGUAGGGUGCAAGCGUUAUCCGGAAUUAUUGGGCGUAAAGAGCUCGUAGGCGGUUUGUCGCGUCUGCUGUGAAAACUGGAGGCUCAACCUCCAGCCUGCAGUGGGUACGGGCAGACUAGAGUGCGGUAGGGGAGAUUGGAAUUCCUGGUGUAGCGGUGGAAUGCGCAGAUAUCAGGAGGAACACCGAUGGCGAAGGCAGAUCUCUGGGCCGUAACUGACGCUGAGGAGCGAAAGCAUGGGGAGCGAACAGGAUUAGAUACCCUGGUAGUCCAUGCCGUAAACGUUGGGAACUAGAUGUAGGGACCAUUCCACGGUUUCUGUGUCGCAGCUAACGCAUUAAGUUCCCCGCCUGGGGAGUACGGCCGCAAGGCUAAAACUCAAAGGAAUUGACGGGGGCCCGCACAAGCGGCGGAGCAUGCGGAUUAAUUCGAUGCAACGCGAAGAACCUUACCAAGACUUGACAUAUACGAGAACGGGCUAGAAAUAGUUCACUCUUUGGACACUCGUAAACAGGUGGUGCAUGGUUGUCGUCAGCUCGUGUCGUGAGAUGUUGGGUUAAGUCCCGCAACGAGCGCAACCCUCGUUCUUUGUUGCCAGCACGUAAUGGUGGGAACUCAAAGGAGACUGCCGGGGUCAACUCGGAGGAAGGUGGGGAUGACGUCAAAUCAUCAUGCCCCUU
rnacentral:rRNA from 1 species